AGGGUUUUGACUACAAAAGAUGGA
rnacentral:siRNA from 1 species